ensembl:lncRNA
AAAUGCCCUUGUAUGUCAGUGUGCCCAAACGUGGGUUUCCUACAUGGCAGCACAAGGCAGCUCAGUGCUCUGUCGCUGCAGCUCAGCUGGAGCAGGCAGGGACAGGGGAUGCUGAAGCACAGCUCUUUCCUCCCUGCCACCACAUCAAGCAGCCUCACCAGAACCUCCCAUCUGUGGGUCUGCAGGGCCACGGACAGCCUCAGCCCUCCCUCAAGAUUAAAGUGCCGACGCUUACCCUACAUGCCAACUGAAGAAGGUUUGAUCCGGAAAAAAAAGCCAGUCGUCUGGGUAGUACUUGGGAACCAUUGCCAUGAGAAGAGCUCAAAAGUUAAAUGAAAAAAAUGUAUAUGUGAAGAUUCAAAAGUUUCUGACAAUAUUUCAGUGAAUUUUUUUGGUGAAUCCUUUUGAGAGAGGAGGUUAUUUAUAUCGGGAAGAAGAAAACUGCUUUGGAGACUGCCUGUCCAAUGCAAACCAGUGGACUAAUGGUGACUAACUCUCAUUUUAGAUGAAGUUACAUAUUUGGAGAAGAUUUUCCAAAUGGGGCAGCACUUCUGUAUUUCUGGAUAUUGUCCCAGAAGCAGCCUGAAGUCUCUGCAAGGAUUUAGACCAGCAAGAAUCAUAAUCCAGAGAAGACAAUUGUAUUUCAAGAUAUGCUGCAAUCCGCUUUACUAUUUAAAAUACUUUUUCUCAAAAAAUUUGAUUGCAUUUUAAUGAGUCUUUGGUUAAAGGAUGCAGCUCACUGUUCAACCACAUUAAAUUUAUAGUUGAUAUAUUCAAUAGUAGUAAGAUGCUUACUUCUAAAAAGAAUCUAAACAUCUUAACUUAAUGGGAAAAUAUAGAACCUAUCUGGAAAAUGUUUGUUCAAGUACAUUAGAAAUUACUUUAUGAUAGUAAAAAUUCCUGAAAGUAAAUUUUCUUUCAGGAUGUUUUUAAAGUGGGCCAUAUAUUCUGAUAUUCAGAAUACCCACAAAUAUGCUGUCCAUAAAGAUGCUGCCACUUUCCAGUGAAGUAUGUUCACUCUACACUUGCUGCUUAACUAUAAAGCCUUUCCGACUGUCUUCUUUCAAGGUCUACAUUUUGCUGUAGCGUCUGUUGGUCUGUUGGGUUUUGGUGGUUUUUUGGUUGUUUUGUUGUUGGGUUUUUUUGUUUGUUUGUUGUUUUUUGCUUUCAGGGUUUUUUUUGUUUGUUUAUUGGCUUGGGUUUUUGUUGUUUCUUUUUUUUUGCCAUCCUCCUUUAUUCUUAUCUCCCUUGGAUCACUUCCACCCUGAGCACACAUGCUGGUCUCAUGCAGUGAAGAGCUGCUUUUUAUUAUAAAUCAAAUGUAUCACUUCAAAGAAAAGAUUUUGGCAUCAUAUUUUGUACAGAACCUAACACUUAAUGCCACAUUAGGUGGCUGUUAAGAGAGGAAUUAAAUAUAUUAACACAAAGACACCUAAGUUUAGAAUGUCAUUGCUACUUUUCUUGUUGCUGUACUUUUCUGGCUUCCUUUUUUCUUUUCUUUCUUUUUCUUAGAUUACUGCUCUUUAUAUAACAAAGUUCUCUGUGGAAUACUGCAGGUGGACUUCCAGCAUUGUUACUCUGUUUCAAUUCAGAAAAGAAUAUCUUUCCAAACAGCCUUCUAAAAGGAGCUCCCGUGGCUGGAUGUGCUGCAAAAUCCCAGAGCUCCAAGGGGUGCGCAGUGUCUUGCCAAGAACUGAAUGAACCAACAGAUUUAUCAAAGCAAUGAAGAAAUUCUGAACUACUUAAUGCACAGGAUUUUUAAUGUUUCAGGCCCACCAAACAUAAGGUAAACUAUACAUUGCCUGGUCCUUCCCAGUACAUUAUGAUGAUACAUCUGCACUGAAGUAUUUAUGCUUCAGUAUCACAUGAGAUUCCUUGCAAGCAGUCAGACAGUAUCUUUCCUCUAUCACCGAGGAGAUGAAAGAUGAACACCUCAUUCAAAUGUUCAGUAGCUGAGAAAUAGUUGUGCUAACUUGUCUUUUACCUGCUUGAGUGGCUGCUGCUUCUUGAAAUAAUCAGAUGAUAAAGUAAAACGGGAAUGAAAUAGAAGGAAGAGAGGAUAUUCUUGGUUUUUUUCUUUUUCCUAGGUUUAAUUUAACUGCCAUGAAAAAUAAACUGUGGGAAAAACAUCUGUUUCCA